UUCCUCUUCUCUCUCAUAUUUUUUCUUCAGUACUGUGUGGGGUUUGAAUAAUUUUGUAGCUUUAGAUUUGAAGAUUUUAAAGGGAGUAGUGCAAAUUAACAAAGCUUAGAAAGAAAAAGAUAGAAAAUUUUAAGGAAGAGAGAGAAGUGAUCGAUGCUAAAGAAGGGAGUCACAAAAUGUUGAUAACUACCAAAGUACAAAACCCAUUUGUCUUAGAGCGAUGGUUAUAGAGGUGAUGAUCGUUGUUUAGAUGCACAUAUUGAUACCCUUUUGCCUAAAUUAGCAAUCUUAGUUAGAUUAGACUGCUUUGAAUGCCCAUAUCAAAUCAAGUCUCCUAAAAGAGAGCAAAAGUGUACAGAUAAAAGACCCCAUUGGACCCAUUUUCUUUGGUUUUUUCCUCUCUUCUUCUUCUUGAUCCUUCCUGUAAAACCCUUGUUCUCUCUCUGUUUAGUAGUUAGUAAGUGCCUGUAUUCAUCUUGUAAAUGGCAGAUCAAGGUGGGAAUAUUUUGAUAAGAGACUACAGGAAAGGAAAUUGGACAGUGAGUGAAACUAUGGUGUUGAUUGAAGCAAAGAGAAUGGAUGACGAGAGAAGAAUGAAGAGAAGUAGUGAUAGUGAAGGAAGAAGCAAACCAGCUGAGCUUAGAUGGAAAUGGGUUGAAGAUUAUUGCUGGAGAAAAGGAUGUUUAAGGAGCCAAAACCAGUGCAAUGACAAGUGGGAUAAUCUCAUGAGAGAUUACAAGAAAGUGAGAGAUUAUGAAAAGAGAAUAGCUGAAGGACGAGAUGGAAAUGAAGCAUUAUCCUAUUGGAAGCUUGAAAAAAAUGAGAGAAAAGAGAAAAACGUGCCUAGUAAUAUGUUGCUUCAAGUGUAUGAGGCUCUGGUGGAGGCAGUGGAGAGGAGAGGAACUCAAAAAAUGGUCACUACUGCUGCAGGUGGGUCAGGUUCUAAUCCAAACAUAAGCUGCGUGGUUGAAAGACCUACUGUUCAUCCUCAUCCAUUGCCUCCUCUUCUGCAACAUCAAGUUUCAGUUUCAAUUCCAGUAUUGCCACCGCCACCAUCAGCAGCACCACAAGCACAACCACCACUUUCUCUCCCAUACUCUCAGCCUUCAUUGCCCGCAGUAGAGAUGUGUGAUGGCUCAGAUUCUGAUACAAGUGAGCAUUCAGGCUUACCAGCAAAGAGGAGGAGGAGAAGAGGUGGCAGUGGCGGAGGAGGAGGAGAAAGCAGUGGUGGCGGUGCCAGUGGAAGCACACCACAUGAAGUAGGCACUGCAAUCUCCAGAAGUGCUUCCAUUAUUGCAGAAGCUAUUCAGGCCUGUGAGGAGAGAAAAGAGAGAAGGCACAGGGAUCUCUUGAGUUUGCAUGAGAGAAGACUCAAGAUUGAGCAAUCUAUGACUGAACUCAACAGGCAAGGCAUUAAUGGUUUGGUUGAUGCCAUUAACAAUCUAGCUAAUUCAAUCCUAGCUUUGGCUUCCCAUAAGAACCAAUCAACUCCAAAAUGAUCAUGUUAUUAUUAAUCAAUUAAUUAAUUAUCUUAAUUAGCCACUAUUUAAAACAUUAUUUAUGUCUCUCUAUUCAUAACCAAGAUAAAUCUUUAAUUAUUUAUUAAUCGCAUUUUG
rnacentral:misc_RNA from 1 species